UGAAUAAGCACCGGCUAACUACGUGCCAGCAGCCGCGGUCAUACGUAGGGUGCAAGCAUUAUCCGGAGUGACUGGGCGUAAAGAGUUGCGUAGGCGGUUUAAUAAGUGAAUAGUGAAACCUGGUGGCUCAACCAUACAGACUAUUAUUCAAACUGUUAAACUCGAGAGUGGUAGAGGUAACUGGAAUUUCUAGUGUAGGAGUGAAAUCCGUAGAUAUUAGAAGGAACACCAAUGGCGUAGGCAGGUUACUGGACCAUUUCUGACGCUAAGGCACGAAAGCGUGGGGAGCGAACUGGAUUAGAUACCCAGGUAGUCCACGCCGUAAACGAUGGAUACUAGCUGUUGGAGGUAUCGACCCCUUCAGUAGCGAAGCUAACGCGUUAAGUAUCCCGCCUGUGGAGUACGGCCGCAAGGCUAAAACAUAAAGGAAUUGACGGGGACCCGCACAAGCGGUGGAUCAUGUUCUUUAAUUCGAUGAUAAACGAAGAACCUUACCAGGGUUUGACAUCCCGAGAAGAUUUACGAAAGUAGAUUGUGCCUUUUGGAACUCGGUGACAGAUGAUGCAUGGCCGUCGUCAGCUCGUGUCGUGAGAUGUUUGGUUAAGUCCAUCAACGAGCGCAACCCUUGUGAAUAGUUGAAUUUUUCUAUUCAGACUGCCCCGGCAACGGGGAGGAAGGAGGGGAUGAUGUCAGGUCAGUAUUUCUCUUACAUCCUGGGCUAGAAACGUGAUACAAUGGCAAGUACAAUGCGCAGCGAAGCCGCGAGGUGAAGCAAAUCGCACCAAAGCUUGUCCCAGUUCGGAUUGGAGGCUGAAACUCGCCUCCAUGAAGUCGGAAUCGCUAGUAAUCGCAGGUCAGCAAACUGCGGUGAAUACGUUCCCGGGUCUUGUACACACCGCCCGUCAAGCCAUGAAAGUGACCAACACCCGAAGUCCGAUUCGUCGGCCUAAGGUGGGGGGCAUGAUUGGGGUUAAGUCGUAACAAGGUAUCCGUACCGGAAGGUGCGGAUG
rnacentral:rRNA from 1 species